UGGGGAAUAUUGGACAAUGGGCGCAAGCCUGAUCCAGCAACGCCGCGUGGAGGACGAAGGUCUUCGGAUCGUAAACUCCUGUCAGGCGGGACGAACGGACGCCGGUGAACAAUCGGCGUCUCUGACGGUACCGCCAGAGGAAGCCCCGGCUAACUCCGUGCCAGCAGCCGCGGUAAUACGGAGGGGGCGAGCGUUAUUCGGAAUUAUUGGGCGUAAAGGGCGCGUAGGCGGCCUGGUAAGUCAAAGGUGAAAUCCCUCGGCUCAACUGAGGAAUUGCCUUUGAAACUGCCAGGCUUGAGGCCGGGAGGGGGUAGCGGAAUUCCCAGUGUAGCGGUGAAAUGCGUAGAUAUUGGGAGGAACACCAGUGGCGAAGGCGGCUACCUGGACCGGUUCUGACGCUGAUGCGCGAAAGCGUGGGGAGCAAACAGGAUUAGAUACCCCCGUAGUCC
rnacentral:rRNA from 1 species